CGAACGAGUUCUUGUUGAUGAUCGGUGCUUGCACCAAGAUUCAACAUGCCACUAGAGGCGGACGGGUGAGUAACACGUGGGUAACCUGCCCCCUUUUGGGGGAUAACAUUUGGAAACAGAUGCUAAUACCGCAUAGAUCCAAGAACCGCAUGGUUCUUGGCUGAAAGAUGGCGUAAGCUAUCGCUUUUGGAUGGACCCGCGGCGUAUUAGCUAGUUGGUGAGGUAAUGGCUCACCAAGGCGAUGAUACGUAGCCGAACUGAGAGGUUGAUCGGCCACAUUGGGACUGAGACACGGCCCAAACUCCUACGGGAGGCAGCAGUAGGGAAUCUUCCACAAUGGACGCAAGUCUGAUGGAGCAACGCCGCGUGAGUGAAGAAGGCUUUCGGGUCGUAAAACUCUGUUGUUGGAGAAGAAUGGUCGGCAGAGUAACUGUUGUCGGCGUGACGGUAUCCAACCAGAAAGCCACGGCUAACUACGUGCCAGCAGCCGCGGUAAUACGUAGGUGGCAAGCGUUAUCCGGAUUUAUUGGGCGUAAAGCGAGCGCAGGCGGUUUUUUAAGUCUGAUGUGAAAGCCCUCGGCUUAACCGAGGAAGCGCAUCGGAAACUGGGAAACUUGAGUGCAGAAGAGGACAGUGGAACUCCAUGUGUAGCGGUGAAAUGCGUAGAUAUAUGGAAGAACACCAGUGGCGAAGGCGGCUGUCUGGUCUGUAACUGACGCUGAGGCUCGAAAGCAUGGGUAGCGAACAGGAUUAGAUACCCUGGUAGUCCAUGCCGUAAACGAUGAAUGCUAGGUGUUGGAGGGUUUC
rnacentral:rRNA from 1 species